CUUGUUGCUUCGGCGGGCCCGCCUUUACUGGCCGCCGGGGGGCUCACGCCCCCGGGCCCGCGCCCGCCGAAGACACCUCCGAACUCUGUCUGAAGAUUGAAGUCUGAGUGAAAAUAUAAAUUAUUUAAAACUUUCAACAACGGAUCUCUUGGUUCCGGCAUCGAUGAAGAACGCAGCGAAAUGCGAUACGUAAUGUGAAUUGCAAAUUCAGUGAAUCAUCGAGUCUUUGAACGCACAUUGCGCCCCCUGGUAUUCCGGGGGGCAUGCCUGUCCGAGCGUCAUUGCUGCCCUCAAGCCCGGCUUGUGUGUUGGGCCCCGUCCUCCGAUUCCGGGGGACGGGCCCGAAAGGCAGCGGCGGCACCGCGUCCGGUCCUCGAGCGUAUGGGGCUUUGUCACCCGCUCUGUAGGCCCGGCCGGCGCUUGCCGAUCAACCCAAAUUUUUAUCCAGGUUGACCUCGGAUCAGGUAGGGAUACCCGCUGAACUUAAGCAUAUCAAUAAGCGGAG
rnacentral:rRNA from 1 species